GGGCAGCCCGGGCUUCGCUGGUUCUCGCCGAGGUCUUUCCUCGUAGCGCCCACACUACGGGGAGGAAAAGGAAUGGAGUCAACUUCGUUCGAAUCCAACGCCAACUGAGUCUCGCUCUGUUGCCCAGGCUGGAGUAUAGUGGUGCAAUCUCGGCUCACUGCAAUGUCCACCUCCCAGGUUCAAGAGAUUCUCGUGCCUUAGCCUCCCGAGUAGCUGGGAUAACAGGCACCCACCAUCACACCUGCCUAAUGUGUUUAUUUUUUUAAAAAAAGAAACUGUAUCUUUAGAGAAAAUGUAUACAUGCAUACUUUGCUACAUUUUUGUUGAUUGUUACAUUUUACAUUUGUAUAACAAUACAGGCAAGUCAUCUUUGCACUCAUAACCACAUCUUUUAUGGAACAUCAAGCCUACUCUGAGGUACAGGCUUUCAGAAGCCUGAAUUUGGAGGACCAUGCCUGAACCAAAUGGAGUCUCCAGAAUCAAAACUGCUCAAAAUAAUCAUUCAUGGUUCUCAGACCAAAUAAGAUCUACUUAGAAACAUUUCUCGACAGCACGCUGCCAUGCCGACGCAGACCCCACUCUGCACGCCAGCCCCCCUGCACCCACCAUGGCCACAGUUCAGCAGCUAGAAGGAAGAUGGCGCCUGGUGGACAACAAAGGCUUUGAUGAAUACAUGAAGGAGCUAGGAGUGGGAAUAGCUUUGUGAAAAAUGGGCGCAAUGGCCAAGCCAGAUUGUAUCAUCACUUGUGAUAGCAAAAACCUCACCAUAAAAACUGAGAGCACUUUGAAAACAACACAGUUUUCUGGUACCCUGGGAGAGAAGUUUGAAGAAAACACAGCUGAUGGCAGAAGAACUCAGACUGUUUGCAACUUUACAGAUGGUGCAUUGGUUCAGCAUCAGGAGUGGGAUGGGAAGGAAAGCACAAUAACAAGAAAACUGAAAGAUGGGAAAUUAGUGGUGGAGCGUGUCAUGAACCAUGUCGCCUGUACUCGGAUCUAUGAAAAAGCACAAUAAAGAUUCCAUCAUCACUUUGGACAGGAGUUAACCAAGAGAAUGACCAAGCUCAGUUCAAUGAACAAAUCUCCAUACUG
ensembl:lncRNA FABP5P3 fatty acid binding protein 5 pseudogene 3